rnacentral:rRNA from 1 species
ACGAACGCUGGCGGCGUGCUUAACACAUGCCAGUCGAACGGAAAGGCCCUGCUUUUGUGGGGUGCUCGAGUGGCGAACGGGUGAGUAACACGUGAGUAACCUGCCCUUGACUUUGGGAUAACUUCAGGAAACUGGGGCUAAUACCGGAUAGGAGCUCCUGCCGCAUGGUGGGGGUUGGAAAGUUUCGGCGGUUGGGGAUGGACUCGCGGCUUAUCAGCUUGUUGGUGGGGUAGUGGCUUACCAAGGCUUUGACGGGUAGCCGGCCUGAGAGGGUGACCGGCCACAUUGGGACUGAGAUACGGCCCAGACUCCUACGGGAGGCAGCAGUGGGGAAUAUUGCACAAUGGGCGGAAGCCUGAUGCGGCAACGCCGCGUGCGGGAUGACGGCCUUCGGGUUGUAAACCGCUUUCGCCUGUGACGAAGCGUGAGUGACGGUAAUGGGUAAAGAAGCACCGGCUAACUACGUG